GCACCUGCCCCACAGGUGAAGGCAGCCCCUGAGCCCAGUGUGGAGGCAGCUGCCUGGUCAGGUGUGAGCCACCCAGAGAGGUGGGCCCUCCUCCCUGCUCCCCUUCACCUGCGAGGCUUCCGGAAGAUGCAUCAUCGGCAGGAGUCCUUUCGGCUGACAACCAGGCCUCUUCGACCACAAGCCCCUGCAGGAAAAGUGGACUCUGGGAAAGUUUCAGAGACAGAGAGCGCCCAGACACUGCCCCACUUUUAAAAAUUGUUUUAACUAUGAACUUCUAACAUUCGGCCACCAAUAGUAUCUGUUUGCACACAUGCCGUUCUUAUCUGCGGCCCGACAGCUUUGCAAAACCGAGACGCAAUAAUCCAUUUGAAGAUAUGGUCACAUUUAUGUCAGUUCUCCUCACACACAAACACUUAUCCUGCCUCUUAGAGCUCUUCAUUUCCAGCACGACUCCCAUUUCCAUGGAUGUUUUAUAAGGUUUCAGAAGGAUGAGUGUCUACCCCAAGCCUGAAGAGCGUGGACGGCCGAGCUCCUGGCAAAGGCCGGACACGACACGUAUGCGUGUUACACACACUGUUGCAGCAGCUACCGCGGAUACCGGCUCCAAACACAUACCCUGCAGCUACUGGAGAGGCCGCGGUGCCAGGAGUCGGUUCACGCCGCCCUUGAUGGCUACGUCCUUGUUUCCGUCGUGAACUCCCCAAGGGUCCGCACGCGCCCUCCGCUCAAUCUACCAUUACAACAAUGACUGCUGCUAAUUUACCACGAAGUCUACGCGAAGUACCGAAAACCAACCACCGCCUCACUGUGCUCUCAUUUUACUUGCUAAGCAGCCUUCGGGAACAGAUGUGGAGCCUCGUGUAAACGUAGGAGGAGGUCUUUCUGUGCAAGUGCAAAUCCCACAGUAUUUGGCAGAGAGGAGACAGGAGUCUGUUCCUGGGCAUGGAAGCCGUCACAGCAAAUUCUGUGCAAAACAAACGCCUGCAACCGGGGCGCCUCUGAGCCCUGCCAUCAACUCCAACAGCCACAGACAGCGGCCAGAGGCCUGACACAUCCCAGCUCCACACCAGGCACGGCCAUCGGGGAGCGCAGGGCACGGUCCCCUUGGUCCCAGGGCACCAUAAUGGACGGCAGGAGUCCAGCUUAGGGACAGUGGCUUCUGGGAGGUUGUCUGAAAAUAGCGAUGGAAAGAUUUGGUCCAGGCUCCCAGAGGCAUAACCCUGGGGCGCUGCUCGUCUCUCACCGAGCGAGUGGCCUCCCAGCUCCGAAGCCUCUCCCAGCCUCCGCUUCCUCGCUAGAAAACAGACAGCACGGUAAGGCAAUCAAAAGCGAGGACAAGCAGCUAUGCUUACGCCAGACAAAAUACAGAUUAAAAUGAAGGCUGUCGGAAGAGACCAAGACGGCUGUUACAUAAUGAUAACGGCUGUCUUGCUGCGUGAAAGCCUCCUCCCACUGAGGGUAACAGAGUCACUGUGACCCCGGGUCCACA
ensembl:lncRNA